rnacentral:rRNA from 1 species
AGAGGGUGCGAGCGUUGUUCGGAAUUACUGGGCGUAAAGGGCGUGUAGGCGGUCCGCUAAGUCUGAUGUGAAAGCCCGAGGCUUACCCUCGGAAGUGCAUUGGAGACUGGCAGACUAGAGUCCCGGAGAGGAGGGUGGAAUUCCUGGUGUAGCGGUGAAAUGCGUAGAUAUCAGGAGGAACACCGGUGGCGAAGGCGGCCCUCUGGACGGUGACUGACGCUGAGACGCGAAAGCGUGGGGAGCAAACAGGAUUAGAUACCCUGGUAGUCCACGCUGUAAACGAUGAGCACUAGGUGUCGCGGGUAUUGACCCCUGCGGUGCCGACGCUAACGCAUUAAGUGCUCCGCCUGGGGAGUACGGUCGCAAGAUUA